UUCGCCGUGUAUAAUGUGUAUAGUAUUGGGCCUAGGACGCUUCCUUGUGAUACAACUGCCUUGAUGUCUUUAACUUCAGAAUAUGUGUCCUUGAUUUUUAUUGCGAAGGUUCUAUUGCUUAGGUAUGAUUUGAGUAAGUGGUGGAUUUGUUCCGUGAAAUGUUUUUUGAUUGUUUGUAAAAGGCUUUCAUGGUUCACUUUGUCAAAUGCUUUCUCGAUGUCCAUGAAGAGGGCUGUACAGUAUUGUUUCUUUUCUAUUGCUAAUAAAAUUUCGUUGACGAGCCCGUGCAUUUGCUCU
rnacentral:misc_RNA from 1 species